CCGCUACUUAACCACCCAACGACACCAUUUCUCCCUCGACUUCUCCCCUCCCACCCACAGCACCUCGCCUUCUCCAAUCGAGCCUCAACCGCGCCGUCGCGAAACCCCAGGUCGCCGGCCGGCCGACCGGCGUCGAAGAAGACGCGGGCAAGGCCAGGCGCGAUACUUCCUGGUCAUCCGCUUCCCCGUCGUCGCCUUGCAGCUCCAUUCCCGUGCGCCCCCUUCACCACCGGGUUCUCGCGUCCGGAAGUCGUGGCCGUGCGGGAGGAACCCUCCAGCGGCGUCGCCGGUGCCUUGAUGCCGACCACCGAAGGGGUAGCCGGAGGAGAGAUGUGGGAUUGAUGGUCGCUGCCGUCCGCGGGAUGCAGGGGUAGAACGACGCAGGUGAGACCAGUUCGUCAAUCUUGUAGCUGCAGGUGAGACCAAUUCCUUGAUGUACUACGGGGAUUUGUAGCUGCAGGAAUUUUUAUCGGGAAGAAGAAUUGCAGAUGGUUGGCACGUUUGGUUGUACAUUGAUGCAAAAACAGUUCUUUGUGAACCUUGUUUACAUGUAUAGUUUGAGAAACUUAGAGAGGACAGUUAUUUGCUAUGGUCUGUUCUGAUUAGUACAUUAAUCAUGCUAUUUUCGUUAGAGUUCAUCCACCUGCAGCUCUGCUUGGCUGAAAAUCAGUGUAUUGCAUAGUAACUGUUAAUGCUGAAUUCAGAUGGAUUUAUGUGCGUGUGUUGUUGUUUAUCUCGAAAGAUCCAUUUGUAGCUUACUUGCGCUGUUGAUACCAUUUGUUCAUGUCAAAUAUACCAUGAUAUCCGGGUUUGCUUUGCUGACCAUGCUUUGUUCUUGUUCGAGGUAAUGAGAAGGACUAAAGGAAAGCGGUGGCCUUCUUCUUCUUCGACUCCAUGUUUUGUUUAGGGAAGUAUUUGGCCAGCAGCGAAGCGGCACGAUGAUGGGGACUCAGGUGUUUUCUUCGAAGAUCCUCUCUCUGCCCCUGUAUGAUAUCUAGUUUCCUAUGUUGAGAAAUAGUUUCAUGCAAUUCUGUUGUGUGUGUUUGAUUGAACUUGUGGGUAUCCUUGAGUGAAUGUUAAUUAUUUGCAUGUGCCAAGUAAAAUGCUGAUCAAGUAGUAGCAGGCAACAAUUGCAUGUCACUGCCACCAGUAGCAGGCAACAAUUGCAGUCUGUAACAAGCUUACGUGUUUUUGAGUCUUGUGGUCUGUAACAAGCUUUUAUUGGCUUGGCUAGUCCA